ACUCUCUUAGUAUAAUAAAUAUAGCUGACUUCCAAUUAGCCGUUUCUGAUAAAACCUCAGAAGAGAGUA
rnacentral:tRNA from 1 species